AUACGAAGGGACCUAGCGUAGUUCGGAAUUACUGGGCUUAAAGAGUUCGUAGGUGGUUGAAAAAGUUGGUGGUGAAAUCCCAGAGCUUAACUCUGGAACUGCCAUCAAAACUUUUCAGCUAGAGUAUGAUAGAGGAAAGCAGAAUUUCUAGUGUAGAGGUGAAAUUCGUAGAUAUUAGAAAGAAUACCAAUUGCGAAGGCAGCUUUCUGGAUCAUUACUGACACUGAGGAACGAAAGCAUGGGUAGCGAAGAGGAUUAGAUACCCUCGUAGUCCAUGCCGUAAACGAUGUGUGUUAGACGUUGGAAAUUUAUUUUCAGUGUCGCAGCGAAAGCGAUAAACACACCGCCUGGGGAGUACGACCGCAAGGUUAAAACUCAAAUGAAUUGACGGGGACCCGCACAAGUAGUGGAGCAUGUGGUUUAAUUCGAAGAUACGCGCAGAACCUUACCAACACUUGACAUGUUCGUCGCGACUCUAAGAGAUUAGAGUUUUCGGUUCGGCCGGACGAAACACAGGUGCUGCAU
rnacentral:rRNA from 1 species